AGCAGCAAGGGUGUGAAUAUGCCUGAGCCCAACCAGGGAUCGUCCAUGCUGGGACACUGGAAGGCUGCCUGAGUCAGCCAAGGAGCUGAGCCAGCACGUGCCACCGUAUAGCCAAAAUUAAAAUUAGCAUGAACUUCCUGAGCCGACACAGAGAAGCGUUAAGCAACCCAGGAGGAGAGGAAGAGCUAUCCUGGGACCCAAAACUGUCUCCAGUUCAUCCGGUGGGCAUACCAGACCUGGUCCAACACUGGCCACAGUACUACAGAGAUGGGCAUGUACUCCAAGCAGGUCGCUGAGAUUCACAUUCAGUACCUUUGCUGGAACAACUGGGGGAGAGAAUAAAACCAAACGGUGGAAAGCAGUGCAAAGAGACCACCUCCUGGUGACAUCGUUUAGGUAGGUCCUUAGAUCCAGCUGUGCCUGAAAUCAGACUUCUUCUAGCAUUUUCAGAGAGGUGAGUCACUAACAUUUUCUUUUUUAUUUAAGCCAAUUUUAAUUUGGUUUCUGUUACUUGCUACUGAAAGAGUCCUGCUUGAUUCAGAAAGCUAGACAAUAUGUUUAAAUUCAGACAGCUAAUCAAUAACAGAGAAAGGACUAGAAUUAGGUUUUAUGUUUCUCAUCCUGUGCUCUUAGACUAAGUAUAAUGACGAGAGGAUUAUUAAGCAUGGUGGGGCCAGCCUGAUGGGGCCUGGCUUAAAGACAUGCUGGGGAAAUUAGAUAAGCAAUAGGGAGCCUCCAAAGGUUCUUGAACAACUUAAAAGAGACAUUUAAAGAAAUUAGUGGGUAUUGGCAGUGUUCUGUUUCUUAGCAUGGGGGAUGGAUAUAGCCCUCCACAUACAUUUACUCUAAAUUGUGCAAAAAUCUUUUGUAUGUUCUUCUGAAUACAUGACAGAAUGCAUAAUUUCAAAUAAUGAAAAAGAAAACACGAUGUGGAGGCCUGCAGAAUGGGAUGGAGAAGAGAGACUCUGGAAUCAGAGAUGCGGGAAGGAAACUGGUGCUGAAUGGAGACUUCAGCAUAAUCUCACCCUGGCUGUUACUGGAACCAUACUAGAAAAAGAAGUUGGUAUGGGAAUUCCCUGGGGGAAAAAACAACUUUCAGCAAUAGAGGAAGCUUCCUCCUUUCAAGUCGACAAUGGGUCUAGACUCCAAUGAAACUGUCAUUGAAACCAGGAUGGAGAAGCAACUGCUCUGCCAUAUCCACAAUUCUUCUGGUGGCUUUAUGAAGAAGCACUUCAAGAUUUCAGAUAACAGCACCUCCUCAAUCUGGAUCUCACAUGGAAGGAAAAAAAUAUGAAGACCCCAAAGAGAAACACCAAGCACAGACCUGACAUAUUCGGAAUACUCAAGGAAGCAGGAACUAUCAGGCAAGCCAAGGCUAUGUGUGUUAUUAAGGGCUUGCUUAAAAAUAAGUUUUCUCAUUGGUACAAUUUUUUAUGAUUCAUUGUUUCAUUUGAGCCUCACAACCACUCCCUGAAGUAGGUGUUAUUUCUCUCCCCCUCUCCAAAUUCCUUGAAACAGAUGAGGAAACUGUGGCUGGGGCAAGGUAAGUGACUGCCCAGGUUCACACAACCGUGUAGAGAUCAGAACUGGAAUUGGAACCCAAGUUUUGUUUCAUGCAAAUUCUAUGUCUCUUUCUGCUAUGAAAAGACAUUGGUCAGGGAAGGCUUCACAGAGGAGGUGCUUGAACUCCCAAGUGGCAGGGCACCAAGUGCAGAAGGGUGACAGGGAUCUCCGGGCCAAGGCACAAAGACAUAACACAGUACAUCCAGUUAAACAAAACAUGCUUUCUAGAAUGUGAGCUCCUUGAGGACAGGAAGGUCCAGUUCCUUGAAUGAGGCCUGGGGGUUAGCAGGUGCUGGAUAACUUUUUGAAGGAAUAGAAUAUAGAUUCUAUACAGGAGUAGCUGAGAGGAGGCUGGGAAGUUAGGCAGGGGUCAGAAGAUGGAGAGCCUUGGGCUGGCUGAGUGGCUCAGUUGGUUAAGAGUGCGAGCUCUGAGCCACAGGGUGGCU